rnacentral:lncRNA from 1 species
GAAUUUCAUGGGGGCUUAGGGUUAGAGGCUAUCGUGCUGAUAACGUGUUAUAAAAGAGAUGCUGUGAAAGCUUAUUAUUACUCAUGACCAGAGAUCUAUAUUUAUACAAGUAUUAGACCGUCUUAUUUAGACCGUCAUAAGAGAAAUGAAAAUCAUAUUCCUAAUAGGAAUAUGAAAUAGUAUUUAUCCUAAAUACAUAUGGAAAAGG